GACGAACGCUGGCGGCGUGCUUAACACAUGCAAGUCGAGCGAUGAAGUUCCUUCGGGAACGGAUUAGCGGCGGACGGGUGAGUAACACGUGGGUAACCUGCCUCAUAGAGGGGAAUCGCCUUCCGAAAGGAAGAUUAAUACCGCAUCAGAUUGUAAUGCCGCAUGGCAUAGCAACUAAAGGAGCAAUCCGCUAUGAGAUGGACCCGCGUCGCAUUAGCUAGUUGGUGAGGUAACGGCUCACCAAGGCGACGAUGCGUAACCGACCUGAGAGGGUGAUCGGCCACAUUGGGACUGAGACACGGCCCAGACUCCUACGGGAGGCAGCAGUGGGGAAUAUUGCACAAUGGGGGAAACCCUGAUGCAGCAACGCCGCGUGAGUGAUGACGGUCUUCGGAUUGUAAAGCUCUGUCUUCAGGGACGAUAAUGACGGUACCUGAGGAGGAAGCCACGGCUAACUACGUGCCAGCCGCCGCAGUAA
rnacentral:rRNA from 1 species